ACGGGAUCUGAGCCAAGUCUCCCAGAACCCCCUCCUUCCUUCCCUUGAGCAGUAAGAUGCCCUGUUCCUACCUUCCAUGGAAUUUGUCUUGGAUUUAUUCAGUUAUGCUGCCCAGGAAGCAGGUGAGGCCCAGGAGCACAGGGAGAAGAUUUCUUCCUGGAAUUGACAUAGCAUUUUGUAUGUAGCCCAAGAGGCCCUGUCUCCUGCCAUUCAGUCCCCACCCCCACCCUGAACGCUGCUGCCACUCAGAACCUGUAACCUCUGGGCACAAGGAGGGGCAGGUCGUGACAGUUUCGUGUGAAGAAGAUUGCCAUGUGGAAUAGUAACUGGUGCCAACAUAAGCUGGCCUCAGACCAGCAGCUUUUCUAUCUCAGUAACAGAGAUAGAACAGUAACAGAAAAAUAGAUGGUUCUGGGAACUCUACAUCUUUGGGUCUUAACUUGAUAACCCUGGCAUGUAAGCCCUAAGUUUGAGAGACUCAGCAGAGUAUCUCUGAGAACAUGACUCUGCAGUUUUCACCUCUCUGACACAUAUUUCCUUGGUUUUUUUGGUUAUGGUUGUUGUUUCAUACCAACUCUCAGGGCCUUCUCCAAUCCCCUAACCCUUUCUCCCUCACUACUCAGAAAUAAAAGGAAGUGGUUCAUAACAAAUGUUGCCCCAUUAAAAAAAAAGUCAGAUACUAACCACUGAUUUCAGUUGCAUGUUAUGCUAUGUUUUUUGGAAGAUUCCAGACAGUCUGUUCAAUUUUGCAUUUCUUGUUACUGUAUCCAUCCUGGAAUUUUUCUGGCAUAAGGGAGUUCACCACCUUCCCAGACAAAAGAUAUUACAUUGAUGACCUUGAAGUACAGGCAGCAUGACCAUGAAGGUUUUGGUACAUAAGGCAUCAUGGAGAUUCAUGCAAGUAAAGAGGAAACUCGUCUUUGACCUACAGAUGAAAUAAAAGCGUCCAACUCAGAUCUACACUCGGGGCAUCAUUUUUUUCCCCUUUACUUUCAAAUCUGUCCACUAGUUCAAUGAGCUUCUAGAGAAACGUGGUGGCAAUUACCCCAGCGUCCCCCUUGUCCAAUUUCAUGUGCCUGGGGAAAUAGAGCACCUCAUAAAAGAGACAACUCAAAGAGGAGGAACUGCCUUGUGGGGACAAGGGACACAACACCGCUCCUGCUCUGCACACACUCACAAGGACCUGAGCUGGUGAACUUCCCAUUUCUGGCUGCUCUGACUCCGCCAUGGGCACCGGGCUCCUCUGCUGGGCGACCCUCUGCCUCCUGGGGGCAGAACUCACAGAAGGGGGAGUUGUCCAAUCCCCCAGAUACAAGAUCACGGAGGAAAGACAGACUGUGGCUUUGUGGUGUGAUCCUAUUUCUGGCCACAGUCUCCUUUCCUGGUACCGGCAGACCCUGAGACCUGGCCUGGAGCUGCUGAUUUACUUUGAGGAAGAGGCUGACAUAAAUGUUUCUCAGUUGCCCCAGAAGCGAUAUUUUGCAGAGAGGCCCGAAGGAGCCAAGUCUACACUCAGGAUCCAGCCCACAGAGCUGGGGGACUCGGCUGUGUAUUUCUGUGCCAGUAGAUUAGUCACAGCCUUGCAGAGACCCUUCCUUCCUGUGCACAAACGUCAUGAUGCUGCCCGUCCAUGUAGCUCGAGACAGUGGCCUCCUCUCAUCACGCAAGGGGAAGAACUGGCUGUGCAGAGACAAGCUCUGAUGUAUUUACAGGCGAGGGCAUCCAUUAUUUCGGGAAGUGUGAGGGCUGAAAUUGUUGUUUGCAAAUAAUUAUGAUUCAGGGAUUAGAAACUUCCUGGUGACAACUCAAGAAUCCAAGACAGAACCUUCUUGUGGCAGACUCAAGCUUUGGGGGCUAGCGACAGUGGUUCUCCUAGAAAAAUAUAUAAUCACAAAACAUGUACAUUAAACUUUAAUAAUACAGAUGGUGGAGUUCCCCCUGUGGCUCAGAGGAAAUGAA